CCUCGGGGGGCAGCAGUGGGGAAUAUUGGGCAAUGGGCGCAAGCCUGACCCAGCAACGCCGCGUGAAGGAAGAAGGCUUUCGGGUUGUAAACUUCUUUUCUGGGGGACGAACAAAUGACGGUACCCCAGGAAUAAGCCACGGCUAACUACGUGCCAGCAGCCGCGGUAAUACGUAGGUGGCAAGCGUUAUCCGGAUUUAUGGGGGUUAAAGGGCGUGUAGGCGGGAAUGCAAGUCAGAUGUGAAAACUCAGGGCUCAAACCUGAGCCUGCAUUUGAAACUGUGUUUCUUGAGUGCUGGAGAGGCAAUCGGAAUGCCGUGUGUAGCGGUGAAAUGCGUAGAUAUACGGAGGAACACCAGUGGCGAAGGCGGAUUGCUGGACAGUAACUGACGCUGAGGCGCGAAAGCGUGGGGAGCAAACAGGAUUAGAUACCCCUGUAGUC
rnacentral:rRNA from 1 species